rnacentral:rRNA from 1 species
AGGACGAACGCUGGCGGCGCGCUUAACACAUGCAAGUCGAGCGAGGUCCAACUGGUGGCAACACCAGGGAAGACCGAGCGGCGAACGGGUGAGUAACACGUGAGCAACCUGUCCCGAAGACCGGGAUAACACCGGGAAACCGGUGCUAAUACCGGAUGUCCCCACCAGAUCACAUGGUUCGGUGAGGAAAUGGAUUCCGCUUCGGGAGGGGCUCGCGGGCUAUCAGCUUGUUGGUGGGGUAACGGCUCACCAAGGCUACGACGGCUAGCUGGUCUGAGAGGACGACCAGCCACACUGGGACUGAGACACGGCCCAGACUCCUACGGGAGGCAGCAGUGGGGAAUCUUGCGCAAUGGGCGAAAGCCUGACGCAGCAACGCCGCGUGGGGGAUGAAGGCUCUCGGGUUGUAAACCCCUUUCAGCAGGGACGAAAUUGACGGUACCUGCAGAAGAAGCCCCGGCCAACUACGUGCCAGCAGCCGC